GAGGAAGAAGGGGUGGAGAGAGGAUGGCAUGGAGGGAUGGGAAGUAAAAGGGGGAGGACAUAAAAUAUAACGUAAAGAGGCUGGGAGGGCUGGACAUGGGGAGGUUUUGAGGGAGGGGAAAAACAAUCUAUUAAGCAAGUGAUAUGUACUGUGUGCGUUACAGUCCUACAGAUUUCUCCUUGCAGAAAGCUUAUUACAUCCCCUGCCGGCACACAGUGCGUGCUAAAGAUGGAUGCUUUUUAUGCACAGAACUGACAUUAGUCAGUCUGGAACAGAGUUCCGUGCUAGAUUUAAUACUGUAGGAUAAG